ensembl:lncRNA
AUGAGCAGCAGUGUAGCCCAGGGCCUUCCUCCAGGGUUUGGGGCAACUGGCAUGGCCAGAACUGUGCCUAUGAGUUCUGUGGCGACUUCAGUGUCCCCCAGUCUGAUUGCAGCAUCUGGCAGUGACGGGAAGAAGCAAGGUCUCUCGGUGAAGCCGUCAGCUAGUCUAAGUGCUCCGGACCUGCUCUUAGAUUCAGUGCUAGGUGCAGUGGACUCCAGAAUCCCUCCUUGUCCUGUGAACUCUACUGUGGACACAGCAUCUAUGCCUGGGGGACUGAGUCAGAACCUAGUUCUGGAGCCCAUGGCUAGUACAGCCAGUCCACCCUCCACAGUCGGAGGCGUGGCCCCGAGCCUUCCCCAGGGGUCCCUGCUGAUUGGAAUCUCUCCUCGUCCAUACCAUGGGGGCCUGGCAGGGGAAGGGUCCACAACCACCUUGCAGGCAUCCCAUCCCCCUGGCCUGGCUCAAGCUCCCCUCCAGGAAGCUCCUGGCAUGGCUGGUGGAGUAUACCAAGUGCCUUCGGUUCUGCAAAGAGCCUCACAGUUGAACCAGGCCAUUGGGGUGGUGACGGCAUUUGAGACCACAGAUCCCAAGACUGUGAUGAGGCCAGAGGACCCGGGCAGGGCUCCUCCCCAGGGGUCCGUAUCCAGGCAGGGGUCCGAAGUCCUUGCGGCAACCCCAUGGAUAUACCAUAGUCCCCUGGCAAUAGACACUGACUACAGCCAAGAAUUCCCUGUAGAGAAUGAGGCUCUUCCCAAAGACCAGAGGCCGCUAUUGGAGGAGGUAGCUCCCGGCCAAGCUAAGUCAAUGCCCAGCAGUGUGGCCUCUGUCCUUCCCCAGUCGCCGAGUCUUGCCAAGCCCUCCACGGUCAGUAGUGGCACCCCAACCCUGCAGCAGAGGUCAGAGACCAAUUUGGUGGCCCCUGGUUCCCACACUGCGGCUGCCAGCCCCAGUGUGCAGACGGUGCCCAUCACGGGCACUGGGGCCCCACUGGCUCACCCGCAGACUCCAAGCUCUCACACUACACUCCGGAGCCCCUCGGCUUAUCAAAAGGCUUUGGUGGCUCAUAUACUGCCUCAGAGCCCCUCAAUGACUCACCAGUCCCGUGGGAUCAUGGCUUCUACUGGAGUCUCAGGGUCACCCAAGCCGACCCAUGACAAUACUGCGGCCACCGGUCUACACCCAGGGUCUGUGGCUUGGACGGGGACCCCAAGAACUUCCCGGAGGUCACAGCCACGUGUUUCACCUCAUCCAUCCCUGUUUAGAAAGCUGACGUACAGUGGUUUCCAGAAGGAAGCCAUUCCCAGCGCACCCCAGAAGACAGCGGCUGGCGGUCUGAUUCAGAAUGGCCACAGGCCCCUUGGCCCUAGAACAUCCUUCAGGUCCAUGCAUGCUAUUUCUGUACCAGAAAAGCCAGACAGUUCUGCAGCUGGGACUGUGCCCUCCGGUCAGGAGCAGCAGGAUGCCCCCAAGUCCUCGCAGAAAUUUCCUAAACAUUCCCUGCAUGCACCGCCAGCCUUAACGCCAAUAAUCCACACUAAUGAGCUGGCACAGGGCAUGGCCAGCUCUAAGCAGAACCCUGGGAUUCGGAGGGUGUCUCUGGGUUAUGAGUCUUCACCGAGGGGUUCCCGGCGGCCCCUUUUUAGGCAGGAGUUGCCGCAGGCGUCUCCAAUUUCCCUUAGCUUCAUGGCUCCUGCAGAGAGUCUCAGGCCAUCCGUGACUCCCGCUGGCGUUCUUGGAACUUCUGUGACUCCUGCUGAGAGUCUCAGGGCGUCCCUGACGCCGGCUGACCAUCUUGGGGCAUCCCUGACUCCGGCAGACAGUCUCGGGGCAUCCCUGACUUCAGCAGACAGUCUCGGGGCGUCCCUGACUGUGGCUGACAGUCUUGGGGCGUCCCAGACUCCAGCUGACCAUCUGGGGGCGUCCCUGACUCCGGCUGACCAACUUGGGGUGCCCCUGACCCCAGCUGACAGUCUCGGGGCAUCCCUGACUGCAGCUGACAAUCUGGGGGCAUCCCUGCUCCAGCUGACCAUCUUGGGGCAUCCCUGACUCCGGUUGACAGUCUUGGGGCAUCCCUGACUCCAGCAGACAGUCUCGGGGCAUCCCUGACUCCGGCUGACCAUCUCAGGGCAUCCCUGACUCCAGCUGACAGUCUCGGGGCGUCCCUGACUCCGGCUGACAGUGUUGGGGCAUCCCAGACUCCAGCUGACCAUCUGGGGGCGUCCCUGACUCCGGCUGACCAACUUGGGGUGCCCCUGACCCCAUCUGACAGUCUCAGGGCAUCCCUGACUCCAGCUGACAAUCUGGGGGCGUCCCUGACUCCGGCUGACAGUCUCGGGAUGUCCCUGACUCCCGCUGUACUCCAGGGCCCAGAGGACACUGCCAUGUCUGGUGGUCAAGCGAGGAAUUCUACCAUCCCCAGCAUAGCAGUUGGGCCCAGGGGCAGCACCGUGGCCCCUGGAGGCGCUUGGGAGCCAGCUGGGGGCACUGUGCCCUGGGAUGUCGUGGGCAGCAAGGCAGCGGUGGACCCGAGACAGCCGAGGGAGUUGGUGGCAUCAGUGCAGGCUGUAGAGAAGAUAAUCAUCCACGCGGCGGUCAUCAUCCAGGCGUGUGCACGUGGCUUCCUGGUGCGCCGUACCAUCAAGGUGUGGCACCAGUGGGCCAUCAUCAUCCAGGCUGCCUGGCGUGGCUACUGUGUGCGGCGGGACCUGGCCCGCCUCUGCCGAGCUGCCACCAUCAUCCAGGCUGCGUGGAGAGGCUUCGUCAUCCGCCAGAGCCGCACCCAGCAAAUGCUGCUCCAGAACGUAUGGGCUAAGACCGGCAGUGGGGCUAGGAUGACGUCUGACCACCGCUGCUUCCAGUCCUGCCAGCCCCAUGUCUGUGCUCUCUGCCAGUCCCUGACCUCCGGACUCGGAAGCCCACCCAGCGUGGUGAUGCUUGUGGGUUCCAGCCCCCGCACAUGCCACACGUGCGGCCACACGCUGCCACCCGGGUGGUGCAUGGCACGGGCCGGGGUGCUGCCAGCCAGGCCGGUGUGCCACGGGGCUGCCUGACCCAGUCAACCGCCCAGAGCCUUCGGCGGCCACCCCAUCAUCAGACCAAGGCGGCCACGGCCAUCCAGUCUGCCUGGAGGGGCUUCGUCGUGCGUCGUCGGCUGAAGCAGCAACAGGACGCAGCCAAGAUGCUUCAAGCCACCUGGCGCGGCCACAGCACCCGGGCCUCCCUCACCACGGACGCGCUCCUGGGGCCAGCGGUGUGGGACAACUCACGACACACGCAGUGGCCAGGCGUCUAGGACCUUGGCUUACUGGUGGGGGAUGCCAGGGGAGGGGCCGCAUGGCUCUCUGGGUUUCAUGAAUAAAGCCCUCCACAGCCUGGAUCUUGGCC